rnacentral:rRNA from 1 species
GACGAACGCUGGCGGCAGGCUUAACACAUGCAAGUCGAACGUGAAGCCCGAGCUUGCUCGGGUGGAAAGUGGCAGACGGGUGAGUAACACGUGGGAAUCUACCUAGAGGUACGGAAUAACUCCGGGAAACUUGAGCUAAUACCGUAUAAGCCGGAAACGGGAAAGAUUUAUCGCCUUUAGAUGAGCCCGCGUUGGAUUAGCUUGUUGGUGAGGUAAAAGCUCACCAAGGCGACGAUCCAUAGCUGGUCUGAGAGGACGAUCAGCCACACUGGAACUGAGACACGGUCCAGACUCCUACGGGAGGCAGCAGUGGGGAAUCUUGCACAAUGGGCGCAAGCCUGAUGCAGCCAUGCCGCGUGAGUGAAGAAGGCCUUAGGGUUGUAAAGCUCUUUCACCAGGGAAGAUAAUGACGGUACCUGGAGAAGAAGCCCCGGCUAACUCCGUGCCAGCCGCCGCCGUAACAC